GGUCUUGGUCUCNAACCUCACAUUACC
rnacentral:rRNA from 1 species